UACGUAGGGGGCAAGCGUUGUCCGGAAUCAUUGGGCGUAAAGCGCGUGUAGGCGGCCCGGUAAGUCCGCUGUGAAAGUCCAGGGCUCAACCCUGGGAUGCCGGUGGAUACUGUCGGGCUCGAGUCCGGAAGAGGCGAGUGGAAUUCCUGGUGUAGCGGUGGAAUGCGCAGAUAUCAGGAGGAACACCGAUGGCGAAGGCAGGUCUCUGGGCCGCAACUGACGCUGAGGAGCGAAAGCAUGGGGAGCGAACAGG
rnacentral:rRNA from 1 species